UUACUUUUUCAAAUAAAAAUAAAAAAAAUAAAAAAAUCUGUUCUUGUCAGUUUAAUAUCUGAUACGUCCCCUAUCUGGGGACCAUAUAUUAAAUGGAUUUUUCGAACAGGGAGAUGGAAAAAAAGCUUGCUCUGUCCACUCCACGCACCCCUUCUAAUCCAGUAUGAAAAACAGAAUGAAAUUGAU